rnacentral:piRNA from 1 species
UGACUUCUCAAUGAGGAAAUGUCAGGGCG